GGGCUCGUAGCUCAGUUGGGAGAGCGCUGCGUUCGCAACGCAGAGGUCGGGAGUUCGACCCUCCUCGAGUCCA
rnacentral:tRNA from 1 species